UACGGGGGGAGCAAGCGUUGUUCGGAUUUACUGGGCGUAAAGGGCGCGUAGGCGGCCUCUGCAAGUCGACUGUGAAAUCUCCGGGCUUAACCCGGAACGGUCAGCCGAUACUGCAGGGCUAGAGUGCAGAAGGGGCAACUGGAAUUCUCGGUGUAGCGGUGAAAUGCGCAGAUAUCAGGAGGAACACCGAUGGCGAAGGCAGGUCUCGUGGGCCGAUACUGACGCUGAGGAGCGAAAGCGUGGGGAGCGAACAGG
rnacentral:rRNA from 1 species